GACGUAGGGCGCGAGCGUUGUCCGGAUUUAUUGGGCGUAAAGAGCUCGUAGGCGGCUUGUCGCGUCGUCCGUGAAAACCUGCGGCUCAACUGCAGGCUGGCGGUCGAUACGGGCAGGCUGGAGUUCGGUAGGGGAGACUGGGAUUCCUGGUGUAGCGGUGAAAUGCGCAGAUAUCAGGAGGAACACCGGUGGCGAAGGCGGGUCUCUGGGCCGAUACUGACGCUGAGGAGCGAAAGCGUGGGGAGCGAACAGG
rnacentral:rRNA from 1 species